CCUGAAGCAGGAAAGGUGGGAAGAAAGUUCUGCCAAAGUCUGGGUGUCUUUAAGAAGGGAGCCCUGGUCUGGCUUUGCCCCGUCAAUACCACGCUGGCUCGGUGCCUUCCCUGGCCUCCGGCAUCUCCACCUGGGGAGGAGGGCCAGGUGUUGGGAGCGUGCCCUGGCCUCACGCGGCCUGGGCUGGAACCCUGGCUAGGCCUCGCCCCGUGUGACUCUAGGCAAGAAGCCCGAUCGCUUGGCUUCAGGCCCCCCAGCUGUGAAGUGGGGAUGAGGUUGUUCUCACCUCCUACGAUGGAGGAACAAACGCACUAAUGCCUUCGCUAGCGUUACCUCGGGGACGGUGCUGGCUGCUGCAGCACCUUUAGUCUCCCCACGUCCUUCCUGCUGGGUUUGGUCCUCACCCAUGGCUGGGAUGGGACGGACAAGGGGGGCCCUGGCCCGAGGAGCGGGCCUCCCGCAGGUCACCUCCCUCCUGGGAAAUGAGGAGAGGAAGGAGGAGCCACCACCACAGGGAGACUGGUGACAGAGGCCAGCCUGCUGCGGUCAGAUGGCCAGCAGAUCCAGAGCUUUCACGAUGCCUGGGUUUUCUCAGGCACAGGACCUGCUGCUCCAGAUAAACCCCUCCAUGGUCUUGGCUUCCCUCUGCCCCAAAGUCCUGCCCUGCCUGAGGCACAGAGGCGAAGGAUUAGAGACGCUCGUAGCUUGACUGGCUUGGGAUCCCCAGCCCUGAGGACGUGCAACUCUCGGGGUCAUGGUGGAGGAAGAAGGGCUGCUGAUCAAACCAACCUCUUGGUCGAGGGCCUGGGACAUUUUGACCCAGCUCUUCUGCUCCUAUGGACCUUUGGACCCCGAAGACACCAGAAUGCAAGCAUUUUAAUCAGAACUACCCAACCGGGGUGAGUUUUCAUCUCGAAAGUACCAGAAUUCCACAGGGAACUCCAUUAAGCCAAUUGAAUCCCUUUAUCAAUUUUCUAUACAGCUCAGUUAAACCAUUUCCGAUAUUUCCAUUUCCAUUUUGCUGAAAUUAUUUUCCUAGAGAUCAAUUCUUUUGCAUUUAGAAUUUCACAGAGGAGAUUUGCUUCCUAAAUCUGUUUUUUUUUUUUUUUUUUUUUUUUUUUCUUUUUUUUUUUUUUUUUGUCUUUUUGUCUUUUGUUGUUGUUGCUGUUGUUGCUAUUUCUUGGGCCGCUCCCGCGGCAUGUGGAGGUUCCCAGGCUAGGGGUCGAAUCGGAGCUGCAGCCACUGGCCUACGCCAGAGCCACAGCAACUCGGGAUCCGAGCCGCGUCUGCAACCUACACCACAGCUCAGGGCAACGCCGGAUCCUCAACCCACUGAGCAAGGGCAGGGACCGAACCCGCAACCUCAUGGUUCCUAGUCGGAUUCGUUAACCACUGCGCCACGACGGGAACUCCAGUUUUGUUUUUUUUUGUUUUUUUUUUAAAUCCAUCUCCACCUUUCCCCUCUGCAGCUUCUGCCACUGCGCGUGGCCACACUUUCUUCAAGGAUCAUCUUUCUGGGCCAUUGUUAUAGUUCAUGUUAGUUCUGAGUUAAUCCAGGAGGAAACAGGCAGCAGUUUGAUGGGAUUGGGGGAUAGGC
ensembl:lncRNA